CUGUCUUAAACUAAGAAACCUUAUGCAAUUAAGUCCAAACACCCAAAAGAUAGAUUUGUUGUUCGCGAAUUACAAUUUUUUUGUCUCCCUGAUAUCCUUAGCUCCUUCCAUGGCCGUCGUUUUCUCUCCUGCCCUCUUUUUUCCUUUUUCUCUGCCACUCUCUCUAGUUGUCCAACUUUUCUAAAAUGUAUUUAGUACACGAUAUAAAAAGCAAAAGUUAUGUUUAAAACAAUCAAUAUUUUUUUAAUAGUUAUAUAUUUUUUAAUGGUGGAGUAGUUGGCUCUGUCUCUCUGGUUUAGGCUCAUGGUUGUUCCUUCUCCAAUAAAGAUCGACUUGGUGGGGGUUUGUGGUCUUGGUCUCGAGUGUAGCUGUCUGUCCAUGAAGUUCACUGUCUGGGUGUGCUUAGCAAGCUGUUUUUGACAACCCGAUCAUUAAGAACUGGUCACCAGGUACACCUAACUCUACCGGGUCGAGCUCUCGCUAUAACUGCGGGUCGAUUCUGCGGCAAGCGAAUGUUCCUCCCCACUGUAUCCUUUGUGUACUCCAAUUUGUGUAAGUUUUAUUUAUGUUGAUCUGCUACUAGUAUUCUCUGUCAUUAUCUGUAAAAAAUUUAAAACUGGUAAUGAAAUCUUAAUUUUUUUUACCAACAAAAAAACUCAAAAAUCAUCAUUAAAAUAAAUAUAUUCAAAUAUAGCAUUACAAAUUUCGAAAUAUCAUUUAAUUAUAUAUUUUUAAAUUAUACAAUUUGAUUACUAAUUUUUUUCAAAAAUAUAUACAAUUUUUUUAUUGAAAAUAAUAAAAAAAUUAAUCGUAAAAUCAUUAGUUUUUUAUAUAUCUACAAAUUUUAUAAAUAUUGUAAUAUUAAUUUUUGGUAAUUAUUCAAUUUCUUACAAAUUUAUUUAAUAUAUUUAAUUAAAAUAAAUAGAUAGAAACAUCUAUCUAAAAUUAUAAUUUUAAAUAUAUACAUGCAUAUCCUUAAAUAUAAUUUAAAAUAAACAAAAUUAUUUUUAUCUUAAUUUUUAAGCUUAAUUAAAUCAAACUUAUAUUAAAUAUUGAUAAGAAAAAAAAUUACAAUAUUAAUAAAAUUUUAUUUUUAAUUUAUAUUUAUCUGUUAAAACAUUUUAAUUUUUUUACUGUACAUGGUGCAGAAAAACACCUAGUAAUUCAUGCUAAAAUAAGUAUUGUUACAUAAUUCGUGAAGAAAAAGACAAGAUAUAAAAAACGAUUUGAAAUAGGUUUUUCUCCAGCGUGUGCAUAGAUGGUGUACCUCAUCUGAUCUUAUCUCCAUGAGUCCAUGAUCGAGUGAUACCGAUUAGGUGUAGGCACGAAG
rnacentral:lncRNA from 1 species